AUUGAACGCUAGCGGCAGGCCUAACACAUGCAAGUCGAACGAGUGGCGGACGGGUGAGUAAUGUCUGGGAAACUGCCUGAUGGAGGGGGAUAACUACUGGAAACGGUAGCUAAUACCGCAUACCAUCGGAUCUGCCCAUAUCGGAUUAGCUAGUAGGUGGGGUAACGGCUCACCUAGGCGACGAUCCCUAGCUGGUCUGAGAGGAUGACCAGCCACACUGGAACUGAGACACGGUCCAGACUCCUACGGGAGGCAGCAGUGGGGAAUAUUGGACAAUGGGCGAAAGCCUGAUGCAGCCAUGCCGCGUGUAUGAAGAAGGCCUUCGGGUUGUAAAGUACUUUCGGCGGGGAGGCGUUACCCGCAGAAGAAGCACCGGCUAACUACGUGCCAGCAGCCGCGGUAAUUC
rnacentral:rRNA from 1 species